GUGUUCGUGAAAAGGAGAGAUGGUUGGCAUCUCCCCUGACAGGGACGGGAACAGCCUUCGGGCUUUCCUAUACACAUCCGGUUAAGGCUUCCCACUUCUGUGGAUCUAUAACCCAAUUUUUUU
rfam:Cajanus cajan chromosome 6, whole genome shotgun sequence.